GACGAACGCUGGCGGCGUGCCUAAUACAUGCAAGUUGAGCGCUGAAGGUUGGUACUUGUACCAACUGGAUGAGCAGCGAACGGGUGAGUAACGCGUGGGGAAUCUGCCUUUGAGCGGGGGACAACAUUUGGAAACGAAUGCUAAUACCGCAUAAAAACUUUAAACACAUGUUUUAAGUUUGAAAGAUGCAAUUGCAUCACUCAAAGAUGAUCCCGCGUUGUAUUAGCUAGUUGGUGAGGUAAAGGCUCACCAAGGCGAUGAUACAUAGCCGACCUGAGAGGGUGAUCGGCCACAUUGGGACUGAGACACGGCCCAAACUCCUACGGGAGGCAGCAGUAGGGAAUCUUCGGCAAUGGACGAAAGUCUGACCGAGCAACGCCGCGUGAGUGAAGAAGGUUUUCGGAUCGUAAAACUCUGUUGGUAGAGAAGAACGUUGGUGAGAGUGGAAAGCUCAUCAAGUGACGGUAACUACCCAGAAAGGGACGGCUAACUACGUG
rnacentral:rRNA from 1 species